rnacentral:rRNA from 1 species
GCUUGCUUCUCUUGAGAGCGGCGGACGGGUGAGUAAUGCCUAGGAAUCUGCCUGGUAGUGGGGGAUAACGUUCGGAAACGGACGCUAAUACCGCAUACGUCCUACGGGAGAAAGCAGGGGACCUUCGGGCCUUGCGCUAUCAGAUGAGCCUAGGUCGGAUUAGCUAGUUGGUGAGGUAAUGGCUCACCAAGGCGACGAUCCGUAACUGGUCUGAGAGGAUGAUCAGUCACACUGGAACUGAGACACGGUCCAGACUCCUACGGGAGGCAGCAGUGGGGAAUAUUGGACAAUGGGCGAAAGCCUGAUCCAGCCAUGCCGCGUGUGUGAAGAAGGUCUUCGGAUUGUAAAGCACUUUAAGUUGGGAGGAAGGGCAUUAACCUAAUACGUUAGUGUUUUGACGUUACCGACAGAAUAAGCACCGGCUAACUCUGUGCCAGCAGCCGCGGUAAUACAGAGGGUGCAAGCGUUAAUCGGAAUUACUGGGCGU